rnacentral:rRNA from 1 species
UACAGAGGUCUCAAGCGUUGUUCGGAUUCAUUGGGCGUAAAGGGUGCGUAGGCGGCGCGGUAAGUCGGGUGUGAAAUCUCGGAGCUUAACUCCGAAACUGCAUUCGAUACUGCCGCGCUUGAGGACUGGAGAGGGUAGUGGAAUUCCCGGUGUAGUGGUGAAAUGCGUAGAUAUCGGGAGGAACACCAGUGGCGAAGGCGACUACCUGGCCUGUUUCUUGACGCUGAGGCGCGAAAGCUAGGGGAGCAAACGGG